rnacentral:rRNA from 1 species
UACGUAGGUGGCGAACGUUAUCCGGAAUUAUUGGGCGUAAAGGGUGCGUAGGCGGCGCGGUAAGUCGGGUGUGAAAUCUCGGGGCUUAACUCCGAAACUGCAUUCGAUACUGCCGUGCUUGAGGACUGGAGAGGAGACUGGAAUUUACGGUGUAGCGGUGAAAUGCGUAGAUAUCGUAAGGAAGACCAGUGGCGAAGGCGGGUCUCUGGACAGUUCCUGACGCUGAGGCACGAAGGUCAGGGGAGCAAACGGG